UACGUAGGGGGCGAGCGUUGUCCGGAUUUAUUGGGCGUAAAGAGCUCGUAGGCGGUUUGGUAAGUCGGGUGUGAAAUCUCCACGCUCAACGUGGAGGGGCCACUCGAUACUGCCAUGACUCGAGUCCGGUAGAGGAGUGUGGAAUUCCCGGUGUAGCGGUGAAAUGCGCAGAUAUCGGGAGGAACACCCGUAGCGAAGGCGGCACUCUGGGCCGGAACUGACGCUGAGGAGCGAAAGCGUGGGGAGCAAACAGGAUUAGAUACCCUGGUAGUCCACGCCGUAAACGUUGGGCACUAGGUGUGGGGAUCUAUCGACGGUUUCCGUGCCGAAGCUAACGCAUUAAGUGCCCCGCCUGGGGAGUACGGCCGCAAGGCUAAA
rnacentral:rRNA from 1 species